AUUGAACGCUGGCGGCAGGCCUAACACAUGCAAGUCGAGCGGAUGAAGGGAGCUUGCUCCUGGAUUCAGCGGCGGACGGGUGAGUAAUGCCUAGGAAUCUGCCUGGUAGUGGGGGAUAACGUCCGGAAACGGGCGCUAAUACCGCAUACGUCCUGAGGGAGAAAGUGGGGGAUCUUCGGACCUCACGCUAUCAGAUGAGCCUAGGUCGGAUUAGCUAGUUGGUGGGGUAAAGGCCUACCAAGGCGACGAUCCGUAACUGGUCUGAGAGGAAGAUCAGUCACACUGGAACUGAGACACAGUACAGACUCCUACGGUAAGCAGCAGUGGGGAAUAUUCGACAAUGGGCGAAGGCCUGAUCCAGCCAUGCCGCGUGUGUGCAGAAGGUCUUAGGAUUGUAAAGCACUUUAAGGUGGGAGGAAGGGCAGUAAGUUAAUACCUUGCUGUUUUGACGUUACCAACAGAAUAAGCACCGGCUAACUUCGUG
rnacentral:rRNA from 1 species